CCUACGGGGGGCAGCAGUGAGGAAUAUUGGUCAAUGGGCGAGAGCCUGAACCAGCCAAGUCGCGUGAGGGAGUACUGCCCUAUGGGUUGUAAACCUCUUUUGUCGGGGAGCAAAAGCCGGACGUGUCCGGCUGUGAGAGUACCCGAAGAAAAAGCAUCGGCUAACUCCGUGCCAGCAGCCGCGGUAAUACGGAGGAUGCGAGCGUUAUCCGGAUUUAUUGGGUUUAAAGGGUGCGCAGGCGGAUUUUUAAGUCAGCGGUAAAAUCGUGGGGCUCAACCCCAUCCAGCCGUUGAAACUGGGGAUCUAGAGUGUGCGAGAGGUAUGCGGAAGGCGUGGUGUAGCGGUGAAAUGCAUAGAUAUCACGCAGAACCCCGAUUGCGAAGGCAGCAUACCGGUGCACAACUGACGCUCAGGCACGAAAGCGUGGGUAUCGAACAGGAUUAGAUACCCCAGUAGUC
rnacentral:rRNA from 1 species